rnacentral:rRNA from 1 species
GCAUGUCUAAGUAUAAGCAAUCUAUACUGUGAAACUGCGAAUGGCUCAUUAAAUCAGUUAUCGUUUAUUUGAUAGUACCUUACUACAUGGAUACCUGUGGUAAUUCUAGAGCUAAUACAUGCUAAAAACCCCGACUUCGGGAGGGGUGUAUUUAUUAGAUAAAAAACCAAUGCCCCUCGGGGCUCCUUGGUGAAUCAUAAUAACUUAACGAAUCGCAUGGCCUUGCGCCGGCGAUGGUUCAUUCAAAUUUCUGCCCUAUCAACUUUCGAUGGUAGGAUAGUGGCCUACCAUGGUGGCAACGGGUAACGGGGAAUUAGGGUUCGAUUCCGGAGAGGGAGCCUGAGAAACGGCUACCACAUCCAAGGAAGGCAGCAGGCGCGCAAAUUACCCAAUCCCGACACGGGGAGGUAGUGACAAUAAAUACUGAUACGGGGCUCUUUUGGGUCUCGUAAUUGGAAUGAGUACAAUCUAAAUCCCUUAACGAGGAACAAUUGGAGGGCAAGUCUGGUGCCAGCAGCCGCGGUAAUUCCAGCUCCAAUAGCGUAUAUUAAAGUUGUUGCAGUUAAAAAGCUCGUAGUUGAACCUUGGGUCUGGCUGGCCGGUCCGCCUCACCGCGAGUACUGGUCCGGCUGGACCUUUCCUUCUGGGGAAUCCCAUGGCCUUCACUGGCUGUGGGUGGAACCAGGACUUUUACUGUGAAAAAAUUAGAGUGUUCAAAGCAGGCCUUUGCUCGGAUACAUUAGCAUGGAAUAAUAGAAUAGGACGUGCGGUUCUAUUUUGUUGGUUUCUAGGACCGCCGUAAUGAUUAAUAGGGAUAGUCGGGGGCGUCAGUAUUCAGCUGUCAGAGGUGAAAUUCUUGGAUUUGCUGAAGACUAACUACUGCGAAAGCAUUCGCCAAGGAUGUUUUC